rnacentral:rRNA from 1 species
GGGAAUCUUCCGCAAUGGACGAAAGUCUGACGGAGCAACGCCGCGUGAGUGAAGAAGGUUUUCGGAUCGUAAAGCUCUUUCGUUAGGGACGAACGUGCUCUUUGUGAAUAAUGAGGAGUAAUGACGGUACCUAAAUAAGAAGCCACGGCUAACUACGUGCCAGCAGCCGCGGUAAUACGUAGGUGGCAAGCGUUGUCCGGAAUUAUUGGGCGUAAAGCGCGCGCAGGCGGGAUAUCAAGUCUGUCUUAAAAGUGCGAGGCUCAACCUCGUGAGGGGACAGAAACUGGUAUUCUGGGGUGUCGGAGAGGAAAGUGGACUUCCAAGUGUAGCGGUGAAAUGCGUAGAGAUUUGGAAGAACACCGGUGGCGAAGGCGACUUUCUGGACGAUGUCUGACGCUGAGGCGCGAAAGCUAGGGGAGCGAACGGGAUUAGAUACCCUAGUAGUCC